rnacentral:rRNA from 1 species
UACGUAGGGGCAAGCGUUGUCCGGAAUCAUUGGGCGUAAAGAGCGUGUAGGCGGCCAGAAAAGUCCGCUGUGAAAACUCGAGGCUCAACUUCGAGCUGUCGGUGGAAACUUUCUGGCUAGAGUCCGGAAGAGGAGAAUGGAAUUCCUGGUGUAGCGGUGAAAUGCGCAGAUAUCAGGAAGAACACCCGUGGCGAAGGCGGUCUCUGGGACGGUACUGACGCCUGGAGACGCGAAAGCGUGGGGAGCAAACAGG